rnacentral:ncRNA from 12 species
CUCUAAUAUUAUUUCAGAUUAUAUAUUUUAAGGAAUAUAUACAGUAAAGUAUUAGAUAUUAAAGAGGUUUAUUCCCUCCUAAUGUAGGUAAAUAUGUAUCAGUAAAUUAUAUGUUAGUAAGCUUUUUUAGUAGAAUGUAUGUAAUUUAC